rnacentral:rRNA from 1 species
UACGGAGGAUCCAAGCGUUAUCCGGAUUCAUUGGGUUUAAAGGGUGCGUAGGCGGAAUGAUAAGUCAGUGGUGAAAUCCUGCAGCUUAACUGCAGAACUGCCAUUGAUACUGUCAAUCUUGAGUAUAUUUGAUGUGGGCGGAAUGUGUCAUGUAGCGGUGAAAUGCUUAGAUAUGACACAGAACACCGGUGGCGAAGGCGGCCCACUGGAUCGGUACUGACGCUGAGGUGCGAAAGCGUGGGGGAGCAAACAGG